rnacentral:rRNA from 1 species
UACGUGAGGUACAAGCGUUGCCCGGAUUUACUGGGCGUAAAGUGUUUCGUAGGCGCUUUUGUAAGUUAUGCUUCAAAGACCGAGGCUCAACCUCGGGUCGGGGUGUAAUACUGCAAGAGUUGAGAUAUUCUGGGGCUACUGGAACUAUCGGUGUAGGGGUGAAAUCCGUUGAUAUCGAUAGGAACUCCAAGGGCGAAGGCAGGUAGCUAAGAAUAUUCUGACGCUGAGGAACGACAGCUAGGGGAGCGAA